rnacentral:lncRNA from 1 species
GGGGGUCAUCGCUUGGUUUUACUGCAAACUAGGGAAGUUUUCAGUCCAAUUGCUUUAUUUUGUUUCUUAUUAUUUAUUUAUUUUAUUUUUAUUUGCAUUAUAGUGUUUUCUGACAUUGGGGACAAUGUCCAGUUUAAGUUUGGGGGUAAAGAGUAUAAAAAUGACCAAAUUGAAAUUUUUUUUUUUGUACCUUCAACUACGAACGAGUUUCAUUUGUUUCCAUGUUGUUGCUUUUUGUUUUCUUAAUUAGUUUUGUUUUCUUUAAAAAAAAAAAAAAAAAAAAUCGGAAAAUUUAAAAAUCCAAAAAUAUUGUCUUGUUUUCCUUAUUAGAUUUUUGUUAGUUUCCCGACCCAAUGAUAUAAUUGGAUCAAAUUUGAAUCAUGAUUAUCAAGAACUUAGUUAACAUGUGUUUUGUGAAAUUCCUAAUUCUCUUGUUAGUUUUGUACAUGUUUGAUCAUCUUUGAAAAACCAAAUGCACAUAGCCUUGUUGAUGUGAAACUAAAGCAUGACUUAAAGCUUCAUAUGUGAAUUUAGUGACCAUAUACAUCCUAUGUGAGUUUUUGAGCCUAUUGAAAGUGUGUGCAUUUUUCAUACACUCCUAUUUUUUUUUAUGUGUGAUGAACUUAUGUGAGAUACAUCUCUAGAACUUGCGUAACGAUCUUUUCGAAAUGUUUGUCAUUGACUGCAUGAACUUGGAAAUGAUAGAGGCAUUAGGUUUACCACUAUGGCCCAAAUAACCACGUUUCCCAAAGAAAAAUGAUAUCAUUAGAUUGCCAAUUUGAGCCGUGUAUGUUGAGCCUUUUUAUUUCUUAUCACCAGAUAUGUCUACCCCUA